CCACAUCCAGUUUGUGGAUGGUGGCACCUUGUGCAUCCUCAAAGCCUCCAUGAACGACAGUGGCUACUACACCUGUGUGGUCCGCAACGAGGUCAGCCAGAACGAGGCCUCCUUCCUGCUCCAUGUCCAGAAUUCCCCAAACGUGGUGCUGCCUGUAAUCCUGGCCUGCGUGGUCGUCGGCUCGCUGGCAGGAGUCUUCGUGUGGUGCAGGAGGAGAGGUCGCCAGC